rnacentral:rRNA from 1 species
UACGAAGGGUGCAAGCGUUACUCGGAAUUACUGGGCGUAAAGGGUGCGUAGGUGGUCGUUUAAGUCCGUUGUGAAAUCCCGUGGGCUCAACCUGGGAAUGGCAGUGGAUACUGGACGGCUAGAAUGCGGUAGAGGGUAGUGGAAUUCCCGGUGUAGCAGUGAAAUGCGUAGAGAUCGGGAGGAACACCAGUGGCGAAGGCGGCUACCUGGACCAGCAUUGACACUCAAGCACGAAAGCGUGGGGGGCAAACAGG